rnacentral:lncRNA from 1 species
CCUUGCUUCACUUCACCUGUGCCUCCCCAGUUGCUUGCACUUUGCGGGUGCCGGCUCUCCUCUCGGCCACCUCUGCCACCCGCGGGCCACCUCCUCUAGCGCUCUCCCUGAUUGCGCCUGGCCUGCUCCUCUCCACCUCCUGCCACGUUGAGGCUAGCUCAGUGCUGUUUCCUUUCCUCUGGCCCUUCUUGAUCCCUUUCUCUGGCUGCUGCUGCUGCUGCGGGGUGCUUUCCAACCUAUCGGGAACUCAGGACUUAAGGCGACUGCACCGUGGCGCUCAUCCAGGACAUUCAGGGUUAACAGCUUCCGCGCCCUUCCACAGAGACUCCCGGGAGCAGGAGAACUCUUCCACCUGCAGCCCCCUUUUGCCUGGCAGUUCUGCAUUGCAUCGCUCGGAAGUCGAAACAAGAAAGAAAAAAAGAAAUGUCCAAAACUCCUUGGAUGUUGGGAUAAACUAGCGUGAGCCUACUUGGGGUUUUCCUGCUUUGUCUUCUCUCUCGGCUUCCACCUUUCCCCAGUGGCUUUCCAGAGCAUGCAGCUAAAACAUCGGACUUGAGGUACCAAGAAAGCAGGAAGAAACCUCGCGGGUCCUUCCCUGAAAUGUGUGACAAGCCAGGGCUCUCCAGGUCUGCUGUACCUGGGUCGACUCUUGCCUCCUAAAUUUCUCUUCCAGGAAAAGAAAAAGAAAGGUUUUGCCUUAUCUCUCUCUCUCUUUUUUAAUCUUCAGUUUCUUUUUGUAGUUUUUUUUCUUUUUCUUUUCUUUCGUUUCCUUUUUUGUAAAAAAAAAAAAAAAAA